UGCAGUCGAGCGGUAGAGAGGUGCUUGCACCUCUUGAGAGCGGCGGACGGGUGAGUAAUACCUAGGAAUCUGCCUGGUAGUGGGGGAUAACGUUCGGAAACGGACGCUAAUACCGCAUACGUCCUACGGGAGAAAGCAGGGGACCUUCGGGCCUUGCGCUAUCAGAUGAGCCUAGGUCGGAUUAGCUAGUUGGUGAGGUAAUGGCUCACCAAGGCUACGAUCCGUAACUGGUCUGAGAGGAUGAUCAGUCACACUGGAACUGAGACACGGUCCAGACUCCUACGGGAGGCAGCAGUGGGGAAUAUUGGACAAUGGGCGAAAGCCUGAUCCAGCCAUGCCGCGUGUGUGAAGAAGGUCUUCGGAUUGUAAAGCACUUUAAGUUGGGAGGAAGGGCAUUAACCUAAUACGUUAGUGCUUUGACGUUACCGACAGAAUAAGCACCGGCUAACUCUGUGCCAGCAGCCGCGGUAAUACAGAGGGUGCAAGCGUUAAUCGGAAUUACUGGGCGUAAAGCGCGCGUAGGUGGUUUGUUAAGUUGAAUGUGAAAUCCCCGGGCUCAACCUGGGAACUGCAUCCAAAACUGGCAAGCUAGAGUAUGGUAGAGGGUAGUGGAAUUUCCUGUGUAGCGGUGAAAUGCGUAGAUAUAGGAAGGAACACCAGUGGCGAAGGCGACUACCUGGACUGAUACUGACACUGAGGUGCGAAAGCGUGGGGAGCAAACAGGAUUAGAUACCCUGGUAGUCCACGCCGUAAACGAUGUCAACUAGCCGUUGGGAACCUUGAGUUCUUAGUGGCGCAGCUACGCAUAAGUUGACCGCCUGGGGAGUACGGCCGCAAGGUUAAACUCAAUGAAUUGACGGGGGCCCGCACAAGCGUGGAGCAUGUGGUUUAAUUCGAAGCAACGCGAGAACCUUACCAGCCUUGACAUCCAUGAACUUUCCAGAGAUGGAUUGGUGCCUUC
rnacentral:rRNA from 1 species